GUGGGGAAUAUUGGACAAUGGAGGAAACUCUGAUCCAGCAAUUCUGUGUGUGUGAAGAAGGUUUUAGGACUGUAAAACACUUUUAGUAGGGAAGAAAAAAAUGACGGUACCUACAGAAGAAGCAACGGCUAAAUACGUGCCAGCAGCCGCGGUAAUACGUAUGUUGCGAGCGUUAUCCGGAAUUAUUGGGCUUAAAGGGCAUCUAGGCGGUAAGACAAGUUGAAGGUGAAAACCUGUGGCUCAACCAUAGGCUUGCCUACAAAACUGUUGAACUAGAGUACUGGAAAGGUGGGUGGAACUACACGAGUAGAGGUGAAAUUCGUAGAUAUGUGUAGGAAUGCCGAUGAUGAAGAUAACUCACUGGACAGAAACUGACGCUGAAGUGCGAAAGCUAGGGGAGCAAACAGGAUUAGAUACCCCGGUAGUCC
rnacentral:rRNA from 1 species